rnacentral:rRNA from 1 species
CAGCAGCCCGGUAAUACGGAGGAUCCGAGCGUUAUCCGGAUUUAUUGGGUUUAAAGGGAGCGUAGAUGGAUGUUUAAGUCAGUUGUGAAAGUUUGCGGCUCAACCGUAAAAUUGCAGUUGAUACUGGAUAUCUUGAGUGCAGUUGAGGCAGGCGGAAUUCGUGGUGUAGCGGUGAAAUGCUUAGAUAUCACGAAGAACUCCGAUUGCGAAGGCAGCCUGCUAAGCUGCAACUGACAUUGAGGCUCGAAAGUGUGGGUAUCAAACAGGAUUAGAUACCCUGGUAGUCCACACGGUAAACGAUGAUUACUAGGAGUUUGCGAUACACAGUAAGCUCUACAGCGAAAGCGUUAAGUAAUCCACCUGGGGAGU